CUCCCUCUUACUGACACGUGGACAACUCUGCUUGUUUCUGCAUUGCCUCUUAUUCGCUACAUAAGAACAGAAGGUCUGAGAUAACUGGAUAUUUCUGAAAGCAGGGAGAAGUAUUAUCCCUAAGAACAUAAAGUGUCUCCCUUUGCAAGGAUGCCGCAUGGCUGAAGAAGAAGAUGAGAGAAAUAUUAAAGAUGAUGCUGUAGCUUUCAGUUGGCUAAAGGUAUCAAAAAGGACACCAAAUACUUCCUUAUCAGAAAUGAGGAUUGCUCUGACCCCUGGUUGAACUCAUCAGCUGAAAUGAAGUUGUUCAGUGAGCUGGAGAAGACAAAGCUGAGUUCCAAGAAAUUAAUCAACUCCAUCAGCCUCUGCGAUAGGCCUGGAAAUGGCACACAUCAGACUGACCCUGAGCAGCUCUGGAUUCCCUCCGUAAAUGAAAGUCAUCAUUCCUGGCAAGGAAGAUACUAAAUUAUAGGCUUUUAAAUUUAAUUUUCAGCUUACUUGUGUUUUCGAUUAGUGUGCCAUGUUUCAUAAAGAUAGUAGUACCUUUAAGUAGUAAAUGUCCUUCAUAUACCAGCUCAGUUCCUGUUGUAAUAAAAAGGUAAAUUUGAAGUAAAAACUGUU
ensembl:lncRNA